GAUGAAGAACGCAGCGAAAUGCGAUACGUAAUGUGAAUUGCAAAUUCAGUGAAUCAUCGGGUCUUUGAACGCACAUUGCGCCCCCUGGUAUUCCGGGGGGCAUGCCUGUCCGAGCGUCAUUGCUGCCCUCAAGCACGGCUUGUGUGUUGGGCCCCGUCCUCCGAUCCCGGGGGACGGGCCCGAAAGGCAGCGGCGGCACCGCGUCCGGUCCUCGAGCGUAUGGGGCUUUGUCACCCGCUCUGUAGGCCCGGCCGGCGCUUGCCGAUCAACCCAAAUUUUUAUCCAGGUUGACCUCGGAUCAGGUAGGGAUACCCGCUGAACUUAAGCAUAUCAAUAAGCGGAGGA
rnacentral:misc_RNA from 1 species